rnacentral:rRNA from 1 species
UACGUAGGGGGCUAGCGUUGUCCGGAAUCAUUGGGCGUAAAGCGCGUGUAGGCGGCCCGGUAAGUCCGCUGUGAAAGUCCAGGGCUCAACCCUGGGAUGCCGGUGGAUACUGUCGGGCUCGAGUCCGGAAGAGGUGAGUGGAAUUCCUGGUGUAGCGGUGAAAUGCGCAGAUAUCAGGAGGAACACCAAUGGCGAAGGCAGCUCGCUGGGACGUGACUGACGCUGAGACGCGAAAGCGUGGGGAGCAAACAGG